AGAGUUUGAUCCUGGCUCAGAACUAACGCUUGUGGUGUGUCUUAGUCAUGCGAGUCGAACGAGAAAGUUCUCUUCGGAGAGCGAGUACAGUGGCGGACGGGUGAGUAACACGUGGGUAAUCUGCCCUUAGGUUGGGAACAACACUUCUAACGAGGUGCUAAUACCGAAUAAUAAGGCCGAUUGCGAGAUCGGUUUUUAAAGGUGGCCUCUACUUGUAAGCUGCCGCCUGAGGAUGAGCCCGCGUCGUAUUAGCUUGUUGGUGGGGUAAUGGCCUACCAAGGCAACGAUGCGUAGCCGGCCUGAGAGGGUGAACGGCCACACUGGAACUGAGACAAGGUCCAGUCUCCUACGGGAGCCAGCAGUCUAGAAAUUUGCACAAUCGUCGAAAGGCGGAUGCAGCGACACCACGUGGAGGAUGAAGCCCCUCGGGGUGUAAACUCCUGUCAGUUGGGAAGAAGGCGCGAGUGUUAAUACCACUUGUUGCUUGACGGUACCUUCAGAGGAAGCUCCGGCUAACUACGUGCCAGCAGCCGCGGUAAUACGUAGGGAGCGAGCGUUGUUCGGAUUUACUGGGCGUAAAGAGCACGUAGGCGGGCAUGCAAGUCGGUUGUGAAAUCCUCUGGCUCAACCAGAGAACUGCAAUCGAAACUGCAUGCCUUGAGUCCAGCAGAGGAAAUCGGAAUCUUAGGUGUAGCGGUGAAAUGCGUAGAUAUCUAAGAGAACAUCAGUGGCGAAGGCGGAUUUCUGGGCUGGCACUGACGCUGAGGUGCGAAAGCUGAGGUAGCGAACAGGAUUAGAUACCCUGGUAGUCUCAGCCGUAAACGAUGGGUACUAGGUGUUGGGGGACAUUGACCCCCUCAGUGCCGUAGCUAACGCAUUAAGUACCCCGCCUGGGGAGUACGGCCGCAAGGCUGAAACUCAAAGGAAUUGACGGGGACCCGCACAAGCAGUGGAGCAUGUUGCUUAAUUCGAUGCAACGCGAAGAACCUUACCAGGGCUUGACAUCUGGGGAACCUUUUAGAAAUAAAAGGGUGCCUUCGGGAACUCCAAGACAGGUGCUGCAUGGCUGUCGUCAGCUCGUGUCGUGAGAUGUUGG
rnacentral:rRNA from 1 species